rnacentral:rRNA from 1 species
UACGGAGGGUGCGAGCGUUGUCCGGAUUUAUUGGGUUUAAAGGGUGCGUAGGCGGCCCGGUAAGUCAGUGGUGAAAGCCUCCAGCUCAACUGGAGAACUGCCAUUGAUACUGCCGGGCUUGAGUACAGACGAGGUUGGCGGAAUUGAUUGUGUAGCGGUGAAAUGCAUAGAUACAAUCAAGAACUCCGAUUGCGUAGGCAGCUAACUAGGCUGUAACUGACGCUGAGGCACGAAAGCGUGGGGAGCGAACAGG